rnacentral:rRNA from 1 species
AAUAGAUACCCCGGUAGUCCAUGCCGUAAACGUUGGGCACUAGGUGUGGGGCUCAUUCCACGAGUUCCGUGCCGCAGCAAACGCAUUAAGUGCCCCGCCUGGGGAGUACGGCCGCAAGGCUAAAACUCAAAGGAAUUGACGGGGGCCCGCACAAGCGGCGGAGCAUGCGGAUUAAUUCGAUGCAACGCGAAGAACCUUACCAAGGCUUGACAUGCACGGGAAGCCACCAGAGAUGGUGGUCUCUUUGGACACUCGUGCACAGGUGGUGCAUGGUUGUCGUCAGCUCGUGUCGUGAGAUGUUGGGUUAAGUCCCGCAACGAGCGCAACCCUCGUCCCAUGUUACCGGCGGGUUAUGCCGGGGACUCAUGGGAGACUGCCGGGGUCAACUCGGAGGAAGGUGGGGAUGACGUCAAAUCAUCAUGCCCCUUAUGUCUUGGGCUUCACGCAUGCUACAAUGGCCGGUACAAAGGGCUGCGAUGCCGUAAGGUGGAGCGAAUCCCAAAAAGCCGGUCUCAGUUCGGAUUGGGGUCUG